GCGACAGGACGGAAAGCCCCCGUGGAGCUUUACUGCAACCUGAUAUGGAAUUUUUGUACCGCUUGUACAGGAUAGGUAGGAGCCGAAGAGACGUGUGCGCUAGCAUACGAGGAGGCAAUGGUGGGAUCCUACCCUGGCUGUAUGACCAUUCUAACCCGCCACGCUUAGCGCGUGGGGAGACAGUGUCAGGUGGGCAGUUUGACUGGGGCGGUCGCCUCCUAAAGAGUAACGGAGGCGCCCAAAGGUUCCCUCAGA
rnacentral:rRNA from 1 species